GACGAACGCUGGCGGCGUGCCUAAUACAUGCGAGUAGAACGCACAGUUUAUACCGUAGCUUGCUACACCAUAGACUGUGAGUUGCGAACGGGUGAGUAACGCGUAGGUAACCUGCCUGGUAGCGGGGGAUAACUAUUGGAAACGAUAGCUAAUACCGCAUAAUAUUAAUUAUUGCAUGAUAAUUAAUUGAAAGGUGCAAUUGCACCACUACCAGAUGGACCUGCGUUGUAUUAGCUAGUAGGUGAGGUAACGGCUCACCUAGGCGACGAUACAUAGCCGACCUGAGAGGGUGAUCGGCCACACUGGGACUGAGACACGGCCCAGACUCCUACGGGAGGCAGCAGUAGGGAAUCUUCGGCAAUGGACGAAAGUCUGACCGAGCAACGCCGCGUGAGUGAAGAAGGUUUUCGGAUCGUAAAGCUCUGUUGUAAGAGAAGAACGGGUGUGAGAGUGGAAAGUUCACACUGUGACGGUAUCUUACCAGAAAGGGGCGGCUAACUACGUG
rnacentral:rRNA from 1 species